rnacentral:rRNA from 1 species
UACGGGGGGGGCAAGCGUUGUUCGGAAUUACUGGGCGUAAAGGGCUCGUAGGCGGCCAACUAAGUCAGACGUGAAAUCCCUCGGCUUAACCGGGGAACUGCGUCUGAUACUGGAUGGCUUGAGUUCGGGAGAGGGAUGCGGAAUUCCAGGUGUAGCGGUGAAAUGCGCAGAUAUCAGGAGGAACACCAGCGGCGAAGGCGGCGCUCUGGGCCGGAACUGACGCUGAGGAGCGAAAGCGUGGGGAGCAAACAGG